UUAUUUAUUAUGUCCAAAUACAAUAAAUAGAGUGAUGACCAAAUAAUAAUAAGUAAUAAAGUAGUUCUAAAACGACACGACUUACACGAUUAAAAUACUGAAGGAAUGCAAAUAGAGGCAGGACCAAAUAUGAGUAGUGGAUAUAGGCAAAAGAAUCCCCCACAGGAUUCAUUUGUGGACACAGUUCCCUGUCCCAUCCACUACUUAACUAAGCCCUUCCUUCUACCACAUGCUGAUCUCCU
rnacentral:lncRNA from 1 species